GAUGAGAGGUUCUUUGUUUCUUUCAUUUUAUCUUUAAAUCUCCUCCUUCGUUCUCUUCCGCUACUCAAAGAAAUUCCCUGAUACCCAAAAGGAGAAACAACUCCAAAAUAAUUAUAACCUCCACUCCUUGCUUCUGAGAGAAACCUAUUGCUAUCAUCCAUGUUCUCUCUAAGUUGUUAUUAGCCAGCGAAGAGAAUACAUUUAGUGGAGCAACCACCUUCAAUAUUCAUUGCAGAAUUUCUGUUGCAUCUUGCAAGAAUCUAAGGAGCUAAUCUUUAGUGUCUUCCGCAUUUUCGAAGGUUACUCAACGUUGAAACUUCUGAGAGUUAGAAUUUCAUGCUAUAGAAGUUUCUUUUUACAAGAGUGUCAUUUUUUUUUUUUGGUUCUCUCCAUUGAAGAGAGAUGUCUGCAAAA
rnacentral:misc_RNA from 1 species